rnacentral:sRNA from 1 species
CGCGCCCGCGUCCGGGAAGGCCAAGCUGACGCACCCGGGGAAGGCGAUCCUGGCAGGCGGCCUGGCGGGUGGCAUCGAGAUCUGCAUCACUUUCCCCACCGAGUACGUGAAGACGCAGCUGCAGCUGGACGAGCGCUCGCACCCGCCGCGGUACCGGGGCAUCGGUGAGGAGGGGGAGGCCGCGGCGCCGCGGGGGGGCGGGUACCCAGGGCGGCGGCACCGAGGGCCGUGGGGUCCUGACCGCCCCCUCCCCCAGGGGACUGCGUGCGGCAGACGGUUCGCAGCCAUGGCGUCCUGGGCCUGUACCG